UACAAGUAAAUUCAAAAAAAA
rnacentral:piRNA from 1 species